CGGUGUUCACACCAUAGAUUGAUCUUUCCAGGUCUCCAAAGCCACAUGCACCACCUUAACAAGCACCAACCAGUUCACAAGCAUGCAAUCACCAGAACCUUUGAGGAAGAAUAGGAGCAAGAAGCUGCUGCUUCUGCUUCUCUUGAGGAGGAGAAAGCCCAUCUGUUUUUGGACUUGGAGGGAAAGAGCACUUCUUUAGUCUCUCUGCAAUGGGGCUAAUUUCCUUUCUCCAGUCAAAAAGAAGGGGCUAGAAAGAUACAAACAAAAUACAGGUGAAGGCACUCUCUCUCUCUCUCUCUCUCUCUCUCUCUCUCUCUCUAUACCUUCCUUUAUCUUUAUUGGGAUUGUUGGGUACUACUGUUUUCUUUAAAAGCACUUUUU